AUGACUGGUAUAACAUUUACAGCAGCAGCACAUAGCUGGUAAGAGAACAGAGUUAAUGCUGGACAAAAACCCUCAUCUGAAAAAGCAAGGUGUGGAAAAACACAUACACUGCCAUUUGAGACAAGUGUCCUAUGAAGACACCUGAAAGAGUCAGUUAUAGAUCUGUAGUGCUCAUGUUUAUUUUGUUUGGUUGAGGGUGGGGAUGGGUGGGGUAUAGCACCUGUAAGACAUGAAAACUACUUUCACCCCUGCUGUAUACACACCAUCUUUGUGGAUUUUGCUUGUUCCCACCUACAUAGAUCAUGCUGGUAACGAGUUAUUCAAAGGGUCUACCAAUCAUGGCAAAAACAGAAAUCCAGCUCCUCAGCCCAGGCAGUGCCAACAACCCAGCUGAUCCAGGAGCUGCAGCGAGGGGUAGUGAUGACACUCCGGGCACCCCGACUGCCCUCUUCAACCAUUCCCAUGGAAUUCAUCCUGUCCAGCCUCCGUCAGAUAAUCCAGCCCUCCCCCUCCUACUUCCAGAGACUAAUUUGCAGAUUCUAAUGGGUAUGUGCUAAGGAGAUGAUGAGUGAACACGCUGCCAGUUUGGUUGCAGUGUGUCACCGAAUUCCGUAGAUUCAUCAUCACUAUGUGGGGUGGAAGCUGCACAGACUACAACAAGGCUUCUGGGACCCCACUCCCCUCAAGCAAGACAUUUAACACCUGCUUCACCUAUGAAGGACUGAUUAUUGGCAGUGAUACCACAACGCAUACAAGCUGUUCAGCCUGCUGCCCUCCGGGUAGAGGUACAGGAGUAUCUGCUUCCGCAACUCCAGACUCGCCAACAUCUUCAUCUACCAGACUGUCAUGCCGAAUCGUCCCUCCUCUCUCCCAUCCCAGGAUGCCGAAUUAUGACCAAGUGACUGAAGAACUGCCAUACGUCUUCACUUGGUCAUUGCAUGACCAGAGGCUGUAUGCAGACUCACAGUAUAAUUCUACACGAUCCACUAUAAGUCAUAUUUUAUUUCAGGUGGUUUGAAUAGCUGUGAUACAUUAAUGAUGCCUGCCAACGAUUCUGAAUUGUGUACAGUCUGUAAUAUUUCUUCUUCAAGGGACCAGUCAAGUCGAUGUGACAGGUGAUUUUUAUACAAAACUUUGUCAAAGUUUACGUAAUUGACACAUCUGGUUGGUCCUUGUUUUGAAUUCUGAAUUGUCAAUAUACUAUAUGCCUUUAUCAGGUUUGAGCUUGGAGUUGAGUAUAUGUUAAAUUAAUAGAAUGUGUUUUUUGCUAGUCUUCACAUUAAACUUAGACCGAACUGCCUUUACCUUUGGAUCGUCUGCAGUUCCCUGUUGGCCCACUACCAUCUGCCCCGCAUGGUGCGCGACACCAGACACUGGAGCAGCUGGGUCGCCACUCAUCAACGCAGAGUGAAACAGUGCUUUGACCGCUCCCACAGGGUUAAAAGCCCCACACUUGCUCCACUGGACUGAUUGAGGAUCCGCAGGCCUACCCGGGGCCACAAGCUCAAGUCAUUCUGUUCUGCCCCACUGCAAGUGACUGAGCAGCUGGGUCCCGCCAUUUUCCGCCGUGUUCGCAAGGUGCCGCCGCCUACUGCAACAGACCUGGAGGCGACCGGCCCGUACAAGGGCCCAUCCAGGCCAUCUCAGGGACUAUGUACUCUGACAAUAUGAAUGAUGUUCCUGGGUCUCCCCUGGGGAGGGGGGAAAUGUUAUGUCUGCUCUGUUGCCUGUGCUGAUAUUUCAUAUUUCCUGAUGCUACUUGAAGACGACAUAAUAACAUUUGUGCAGGGCAUGCUGGGAUGCGAGUUCAGUGAAAUAAACGUCUGGUAUGGCUAGACUUUGACA